rnacentral:lncRNA from 1 species
GCCUAGUGCUGGAGAAACAGCAGAGAUGAAAAUUGCUGCCUGAUACUCAUAUAAUGAGCAGCUCACAGCAGGGCAGAGGAACAAGGAUGACACUGCAUGGCAAAAUAAAGCCUGAGCCAUUCAUUGCAUAUUAGCUUCUCUUCAAUUCAAAGAAACAUGAAUCCCCUCCACAGCUAUUAUAAAUAAAAGUAACAUUACAGAAAUUGCUAUGUCAGGUAUAAUGUAGGUUGCACUUUUUCUCCCAAGUUCUCUUCUCUGGUUAGCUAUUCUUUAGCUCUGAAGAAUCUGAUGGGCUGUCCUAACAUGCACACUGAUGUAAUAAUGCAAUUACACUGUUACUAACCACCUGAAUAUAGAACACAACAUGCAUAAGUGAGAAAGUUGCUAAUACUCAACUACUGCCUGCCCUGUUAAGCAACUGCUGAUUCAAGAUAACAUAUUUGCCACUAAGGAACAAAGAUGUUUUGCCAACAUUGUCAUCUGUAUGUUCUAAUCAGCUUCCUAAGAAAUGUUUGGUGAGUUCUGCAGUUCAGGAGAGAACAGCAAGAAAGAUAAAACCACAGGGAUAAUCUAGUAAAUCUAUCCAGAGGUUUGGACUGACAAGUCAGAUACAGUUUGUGUUAUUUAUAUGUCAGUAGUAUUCCUCAUUAAGUAGCCAGAGGUUACAGAAGCAGUACAAAAUAUAUUUGUUGUAUAGAAUUCUAUUAUUUAAACAUUUCUGAUUAUCUAAGAAGAUACUGCCAUUGGCUACAAAAUCAGCUUGUUGCAGAGGAUGGUAGAGGUAGAGAACAGCAGAGGAUUAUACAUAAAACUUGAAAAUAAAAUGAAUAAAUACAAUAUUUUGAUGAUACAAAAAAAAUAGUUAGGGAAAUAACUGUACCACUUUCUUUUGACAGAUGUUUGUUUGGGGAUCUGGUGAUGUACAUGUCUUCCUGUCAUCAGAAAAAAAGCAGACCAAGAAUCACAAUGACUUACCACACUGUCUUGCUCAGCAAAUUUUUUUUUAGGAUAAAGUGCAAACACUGAAAAUGCUUAGCGCUUAUAUAUCAAGCAAUGCCGUUGUAAAUAUUAGAA